CCUACGGGAGGCAGCAGUGGGGGAUAUUGCACAAUGGGGGAAACCCUGAUGCAGCGACGCCGCGUGUGGGAAGACGGUCCUCUGGAUUGUAAACCCCUGUCCCCAGGGACGAAGAUGCCGGAACCUGGGGAGGAAGCUCCGGCUAACUACGUGCCAGCAGCCGCGGUAAUCCGUAGGGAGCGAGCGUUGUCCGGAAUUACUGGGUGUAAAGGGAGGGUAGGCGGGACUGCAAGUUGGGUGUAAAAUCUACCGGCUCAACCGGUAGCCGCACUCAAAACUGCAGUUCGUGAGUGAAGUAGAGGCAGGCGGAAUUCCUAGUGUAGCGGUGAAAUGCGUAGAUAUUAGGAGGAACACCAGUGGCGAAGGCGGCCUGCUGGGCUUUUACUGACGCUGAGGCUCGAAAGUGUGGGGAGCAAACAGGAUUAGAUACCCCAGUAGUC
rnacentral:rRNA from 1 species